GACGAACGCUGGCGGCGUGCUUAACACAUGCAAGUCGAACGGAAAGGCCCUGCUUUUGUGGGGUGCUCGAGUGGCGAACGGGUGAGUAACACGUGAGUAACCUGCCCUUGACUUUGGGGUAACUUCAGGAAACUGGGGCUAAUACCGGAUAGGAGCUCCUGCUGCAUGGUGGGGGUUGGAAAGUUUCGGCGGUUGGGGCUGGACUCGCGGCUUAUCAGCUUGUUGGUGGGGUAGUGGCUUACCAAGGCUUUGACGGGUAGCCGGCCUGAGAGGGUGACCGGCCACAUUGGGACUGAGAUACGGCCCAGACUCCUACGGGAGGCAGCAGUGGGGAAUAUUGCACAAUGGGCGGAAGCCUGAUGCAGCAACGCCGCGUGCGGGAUGACGGCCUUCGGGUUGUAAACCGCUUUCGCCUGUGACGAAGCGUGAGUGACGGUAAUCGGUAAAGAAGCACCGGCUAACUACGUG
rnacentral:rRNA from 1 species